CAAAGGGAGAUAACACGGAACUUUGGCCGCCAGGUGUCACUGUUGGCGUUCCUGCUGAUUCAAUUUGCGCCGGUGCCGUUCGGAGCCGUGCCGUGCGGUGAAAGUGAGUGAAAUAUUGAGGAAGUAGUGAGUCACAUGUGUCAUAAUACCUAAAUUUGGAAGAAAAUAGCCCAGUGUUGUGUCUAUGGCUGCUCGGAGAAUGGUGGGUUUGUAUUUUCUCGCGACAAGAGGCCGAGGAAGAUAGGUAUGGCUCAGGCUGCAACGGAUUUCAUCCCACCAAACACUUGAUUGUGUGUCGGAAGCAUUUCACCGACGAUGAUUUUUUGGAAUAUACUGCCUACGGUACAAGAACGGGCUCAACAGGCAGAGGAAAUGGAGAAGAGUGCUCCACCUCCACCUGACGUUGCGCUUAUGAGGAGUGCGACACUGAAGGGGGGUGUGCUGCAUCACUGCGGGGCUAUCUGAUGGUGCUGUCAAUAUCAGCACCAGGCAGGGUUCAAUGUCCAAGAUCUGUUAGCCUGUCGUGAUGUACGUGUCAUAACACCACCGUUCCUUAAAGUGAAGUCCCAGCUCUCUCCCGCCGAACGCACUCAGUCGCUCGCUAUCACGAGGGAUCAUAUCCAUGUCGGGCGUAUGACUGGUCUGAUCAAGACUUACUCGUUUCUUAGGGGGCAAAUCGAUGCCGGUUACGUACCUGUUCUUUCAGACAUAUUCCGUCCUGUGUGUCUCGUCUGUAGCCUGCAGAAAUCGCUCAUGCAGGUGGCGGGGAUGUGCGCGCUCUGGGACGUUAGCAUUAGCAGACUGAGCUUCACCGUCUCAUGUUUAUUGUAUACAUGCCUACAUUUGUGAAUGGUGCAUUGGAGGGCUACAUGUGUAUGCUGGUGCACAGUGCAUUGCUUGAAAGCUGUAUGUUAUUUUGUAAUCGGUGAUAGGUAUUGAAUGCUUUUGAGUUUUGGAGCUUGCCUUGUCGAAGUGGUUUAGCUAGUAGGUACUCUGCUAUGUUUCGAUGUCAGUUAAAUACACCGCUGUUGACUAUCAUACACUGCUUCAAAAGCUAUGUGUUGUAUUCGCCAUCGCGCAGUGACGCUCAUAAGUCAUGAGUUCAUUGGCAUGAAUAGAAACGAACGAGUACUGUC